GAUGAACGCUAGCUACAGGCUUAACACAUGCAAGUCGAGGGACCGGCGCACGGGUGAGUAACACGUAUCCAACCUGCCCUUUACUCGGGGAUAGCCUUUCGAAAGAAAGAUUAAUAACCGAUCUAAAGGAUGGGGGUGCGUUCCAUUAGGUUGUUGGUGCGGUAACGGCCCACCAAGCCUUCGAUGGAUAGGGGUUCUGAGAGGAAGGUCCCUCACAUUGGAACUGAGACACGGUCCAAACUCCUACGGGAUGCAGCAGUGAGGAAUAUUGGUCAAUGGGCGUUAGCCUGAACCUGCCAAGUAGCUGGAAGGAUGAAGGCUUAUGGGUCGUAAACUUCUUUUAUAUAUGAAUAUGUGUUAUAUCAUUAAGGACCGCCUAAGUCCGUGCCAGCAGCAGCGUUAAUAC
rnacentral:rRNA from 1 species